rnacentral:sRNA from 1 species
UAGAAAAAUUGAUACCCGCCUAGGAUUCUU